UGUGCAACUAAUCUGUCUAUCCAACACGUGUGCAACACAGUUACCUUCUUUUUCAUGAACUCGAAGUUACAAUUCCUUGUUAACCCACAACAACGAGGAGCAAUCUGAACCCAAUGGUUCAUGGGAAAAUCCUUUCUCUUUAAAGCUUUAAUCAACAUUACAAAUGUGUUUGUUGCAAUCCUCAUUUGCACUAACUGAUUUGUGUUGUUUUGAAGUGUAGCGACUUUGGAUCGAGCGUUUUGAAUUCCUUAAGGAUUGCAAGGGCUUCCACUGAAGUAAUAAUAAGAUUCUUGUAGAUACUGUUGUUGCAAACAUUUCCCCUGGAGUCCAGAAAAACCAAUGUGAAUGUCGUAGAUUAAAGUGUUGUUUCCCUUAUUAACGGAGGUUGAGUCUAGCUGAAGAGGUUAGACUUCUACGACAUGGCGAACCAUAAUUUGAAUUUUGGAUGGGUGAGACACCCACAUUUGAUGUAUGACAAUGCCUCAAACAGAAUUACCUCUAGUAGAGCGAACCUAUGAGAAACCAAAAAUAAAAUUGUUGUUUCCCUUUCUUUAUUAAGUGCGUGACUUCUCAAUGAAUGCAAAUCAUGAAUGUGACAAUGACUCAAUUAGGCUCUUGUGGAUUGUUUUUAUCAUGCAUAUAUUAACAGUCAACUUUGAAAGAAAUACACAUGUUCAAGAACACAGAAGAUCAGAUUGUUUUGUCAUUAGAAUCAAGUGGUUCGAUAUCUUCAAAACAUCAUAAAUGUUUUUGGCUUAGCAUAUGGAAGUUGUUAUAAGGCAUGGUUUUAAGUCUCUUCUUUCCUAGUCAAUGAUAGGAAAUGUCUACUAUUCUUUGGAGACCAUGGAAGAGUACAAAUGCCAAAAUUUAGGAGAAUAUAUCCAAAUAGCCGUAAGUUAUUGUCAAGUGUGGCUUGGUUCAGAUGGAAGAUUGCAAGUUGGCAUAUAGAUAAAAGGGUUUUCUAACUUCCAAGAAUUAAACUUGAAAGUUGUCACAUGGUGAUGCAACCAGAUACUCUGAUCGUUUCAAAUGUAAUAUUGAUAUGUUGUAAUUUGCGCGCCAGACUUGGUUGCUUUGGUAUUGAUAUUUGAUCAAUAUUGCUUUGUUAUUGUUUGAUCAUUUUGAAUA